UCUCCGUAGGUGAACCUGCGGAGGGAUCAUUACAGAGUUCAUGCCCUACCGGGUAGAUCUCCCACCCUAUGUUAUUAUUACUUUGUUGCUUUGGCGGGCCGUUAGGCUCCGGCCCGACUACCGGCCCCGGCUGGUAAGCGCCCGCCGGAGGACCCAAAACCCUGAAUAUUAGUGUCGUCUGAGUACUAUAUAAUAGUUAAAACUUUCAACAACGGAUCUCUUGGUUCU
rnacentral:misc_RNA from 1 species